rnacentral:rRNA from 1 species
GAUGAACGCUGGCGGUAUGCUUAACACAUGCAAGUCGAACGGACUCUUCGGAGUUAGUGGCGGACGGGUGAGUAACGCGUGAGAAUCUGGCUUUGGGUUCGGGACAACCACUGGAAACGGUGGCUAAUACCGGAUGUGCCGAGAGGUAAAAGAGAAAUUGCCUGAAGAUGAGCUCGCGUCUGAUUAGCUAGUUGGUGAGGUAAAGGCUCACCAAGGCAGCGAUCAGUAGCUGGUCUGAGAGGAUGCCCAGCCACACUGGGACUGAGACACGGCCCAGACUCCUACGGGAGGCAGCAGUGGGGAAUUUUCCGCAAUGGGCGAAAGCCUGACGGAGCAAUACCGCGUGAGGGAAGAAGGCUCUUGGGUUGUAAACCUCUUUUCUUAGGGAAGAACAAAAUGACGGUACCUAAGGAAUCAGCAUCGGCUAACUCCGUG